rnacentral:tRNA from 1 species
GCCUGGGUGGCUCAGUCAGUUAAGCAACUGACUUCAGCUCAGAUCAUGAGCUCACGGUUCGUGGGUUCAAGCCCCGCAUCGGGCU